GAUGGACGCUGGCGGCGUGCCUAAUACAUGCAAGUCGAGCGAACGGACGAGAAGCUUGCUUCUCUGAUGUUAGCGGCGGACGGGUGAGUAACACGUGGAUAACCUACCUAUAAGACUGGGAUAACUUCGGGAAACCGGAGCUAAUACCGGAUAAUAUUUUGAACCGCAUGGUUCAACAGUGAAAGACGGUCUUGCUGUCACUUAUAGAUGGAUCCGCGCUGCAUUAGCUAGUUGGUAAGGUAACGGCUUACCAAGGCAACGAUGCAUAGCCGGCCUGAGAGGGUGAUCGGCCACACUGGAACUGAGACACGGUCCAGACUCCUACGGGAGGCAGCAGUAGGGAAUCUUCCGCAAUGGGCGAAAGCCUGACGGAGCAACGCCGCGUGAGUGAUGAAGGUCUUCGGAUCGUAAAACUCUGUUAUUAGGGAAGAACAUAUGUGUAAGUAACUGUGCACAUCUUGACGGUACCUAAUCAGAAAGCCACGGCUAACUACGUG
rnacentral:rRNA from 1 species